rnacentral:rRNA from 1 species
UACGUAGGGUGCGAGCGUUAAUCGGAAUUACUGGGCGUAAAGUGUGCGCAGGCGGCCGAGCAAGUCGAGUGUGAAAGCCCCGAGCUUAACUUGGGAACUGCGCUCGAAACUACUUGGCUAGAGUGUGGCAGAGGGAGGUGGAAUUCCACGUGUAGCGGUGAAAUGCGUAGAGAUGUGGAGGAACACCGAUGGCGAAGGCAGCCUCCUGGGCAACACUGACGCUCAUGCACGAAAGCGUGGGGAGCAAACAGG